GUUCCUCCCUAGGAGUUUAAAUAUAGUCUAUGAAGCUAAGACAUAAUAAGGAAUACCUUGGUACUUUUCAUUUUUUUUAAACCUAGGUAGCCUGGAGAACAGAUAGAUCUCAUUUAUGCCUGCAUUUUGUGGCUAGCGUCUCACACAUUUGGACCUAAGAAAAAGAAUGGUAGUUUGCUGAUAAUUUAUUACAGCUCCGUCCCUCCAACUGUUCUUUAUUAGGUACCAGCAAAAUGUGUUCUGCUGUUGAUUGCCUUUACUUUCCUGGCCUUUCAAAUCCUUUGAACUUGCAUUUCACAAUGCCAAUAUCAAAAUGAAAUAAUAGGCAACAGACAACUGUCUUUUAAUGUAGCAAUUAUAUAUUUCGUCAAUUAGAGGUUUGCUCUCUAAAAGCAGAUACUUUUCAUUUUAAAGUACAUAGGAUAAUUCUCAAGAAGUAUUUGCUGCAGUACUGGUGGUUAUGGCUAAAAAUAGAGCAAUAGUGAAAAUAAAAAUAAGUGCCUACUCUAAAACCAGGAAGAUGCACAGUGAAAACUUUGAAAAAUUAUUUUGCCAUGAAAUAAUUUUCUAAGCGUUUUCCUUGGGAUAUUGAUUUUAUUGUAUCGAUUGUAUUAUAUUGUAUGGUAUUAGAUUAGAUUAGAUUGGAUUGGAUUUAUAGCACCCAGGCUACCUCCUUGAGAAACAGCAACUUACCUAGCAAAUCCACCUUUUUCGCCUUUAAGAAUACGUUUUCAUUGAAUUCCUAUUUGUCCAAAGAUACUAAGUAUGCCCGGUGGACCUAAGAGACAAACCCAAAUUAGGGAAAGUAAGCUCAGAUGGAAAGAGACCUUUGGGAUUUCAUUUUAUUAUGUUUUAUAUAUGUUUUAAUACCUUUUCACAGAUUUAAAUCCCCAGGGUGAAUACUCCCUUCUUUGUUAGUACCUGGCGUGUGUUCAGUAGUCAAAGUAAUUAAAAUUAGCACCUAUAUAAUGAGCUUGUCAUUUUUAAUGUUCUUUACCAACCAGAAUCCUAAUGAAGUCUAAAAGGUUUAGGCUAAAUAUCUUCACAACAGACCUCCAAAACCUUCAAGGUCAGAACUGAACACACGGUGGCGAGAGGAACUGUCUUCACAGCAGCUCUGCUUCCUCGGAGACGGCCAGAGGGAAAGGCCGUUGGCCAGUGCCAGUACUUCGCCCAAGGGAGUACCUGCUCACAUUAACCCAGCCCAAGAAGUUCCUUUGGCCAAGACGCACACACACACACCACUGUCCGGUUUUCUAUUUCCUUCCAGUGUAACGACAACCACAAGCUAUCAGCACUUCACUAUUUGCUGUCCCCUCAGCGGGAUCGGGAUGCAGCUACGCAGCGGGCCCCUGGCGAGCCGCGGUGUCAGGGCCCUUUUCUCCUCUUCCCACCGUGGGAAGCGAAUUCAGUGGCGUCAAGGGCCAAGAGCCAGACCUGAGUUUGUCUCUCACCCCCCGAUGCUCGUCUCCCUUUUCUCACUGCCUUCCGCCCCCUCUGAUCUCGACUUCUCGCAACCUAUCCAGGUCCUCUCUGGGCCUCUGCCCUGAGUCAGCCCCGAAUCAGACGGGCUUGACUCGCUGAAAGAAUUCCCCUUUGAGAGGAGGCAGAUUCCCCUCUACAUAGACGACACCCUGACGUCGAGGGGCUUGCCCCUCGUCCGUGGGGAAGCCUUCCCGGCCCGCGGCUGGGGCCUGAGGUUGGGCCGAUCACCCCUCCUACCAGUCCUAGUUCGGGUCUAGCGGAAUGGCUGGGCUCCGAGAAGGGCGCCGGGCCCACGGGCGGGACGGCCAGGGCGGCCCCGCACCCUCUGGGCGCAAAUUUCUCCAGCGGGGUCCCCAGCGC
rnacentral:lncRNA from 1 species